UGGGAAGCACAGGCAUUGUUGAUAACUGCCCGGGAGAGUCAAAGAGCAAGAAGAAGAGCGUGUGUGUGUGUGUGUGUCGGGAGCUUCUUCCUUGACUGUGUUAACGUGUGUCUCAACGGAUGGUGAUGCGUCCUGACAACAUAUUUUCCAGGAAUCGGUGACUAUCUGGAAUCAGAGGACCUGAGCCAUAGGACCAUGCCUCGGGACUGACUACCUGGCAUGAUGACUCCUUGCUGUCCCCAGUCCACCUGGCUGUGCUGCUGCUCCAGUUUCAACUGUUCUGCCUGCGGCUAUGGAACCAUGACCUGUUCACCGGACGUGCUACCUGUCCCAGACCUGCUGUGUUCAACUCUCUGGAGACAGCAGGAGCGGUAGAGAUACUUUGAAUGAUCGGCUAUGACAAAACAACUGACAUUUACUCCUGAGGUGCUGACCUGUUGCACCCUCGACAACCACUGUGAUUAUUAUUAUUUGACCCUGCUGGUCAUUUAUGAACAUUUUAACAUCUUGGCCAUGUUCCAUUAUAAUCUCCACCCGGCACAGCCAGAAGAGGACUGGCCACCCCUCAAAGCCUGGUUCCUCUCUACCCAGUACAGCCAGAAGAGGACUGGCCACCCCUCAUAGCCUGGUUCCUCUCUACGUUUCUUCCUAGGUUCUGGCCUUUCUAGGGAGUUUUUCCUACCCACUGGGCUUCUACGCCUGCAUUGCUUGUGGUUUGGGGUUUUAGGCUGGGUUUCUGUACAGCACUCUGUGACAUCAGCUGAUGUAAGAAGGGCUUUAUAAAUACAUUUGAUUUGAUUUGACAGAGUGAUCUCCAGCCUUGUCCUCAACACUCACACAUGUGUUAACGAGAGAAUCACUGACAUGUCAGCUGGUCCUUUUGUGGCAGGACUGAAAUGCAGUGGAAAUGUGUUUUGGGGAUUCAGUUAAUUUGCAUGGCAAAGAGGGACAUUGCAAUUAAUUGCAAUUCAUCUGAUCACUCAUAACAUUCUGGAGUAUAUGCAAAUUGCUAUCAUACAAACUGAGGCAGCAAACUUUGUGAAAAUUAAUAUUUAUGUAAUUCAAAACGUUUGGCCAUGACUGUACACAGAGGGAAAACAUUUCAAGACGUAUUACAGCAGAAAACUAAAAUCUUAUUGGACAAGUCCAGGUAGUCCCUGGGUGUUUCAAAUAUUUUAUUCUGUUUGGUGCCUAACGAACUAGUCACAACCCAGUUUAGAGGGUACACUACACUAUCAGUGUAACACUCAGCCAAGCUACAUUGAAAUAAAUGGACAGCAAGGUUCAUAUGAGCUGUGGUUCCAUUAGCAGUAGAGAUAAAACUGGCAGGGUUUUUGGAUUGAUUGCCAGUUAGGCCAGGUUCAGAAGCAGUUUAACAGGCAUCAACACACUGAGGCUGGAUUCAUGUGCCAGUAUUGGGUUUCUGUAUUUGUGUGAUUAGUACAUAUGGUAUGUUAUACAAUAGAGUUAUACAUGUUGGUCAAGUUAUGUACGCUAUGGCUUUUGUAGUGUCGGCAUGUGCCUUCAUGUUCGACUCAAUUUCUCAACCCGUAAUAAUCUAAACCCCAAAACUUCAUACACAACCUUAAAAAUACUUUUGGACAGCUGAAGCAAGCACACAAUUUUUCCUUCAGGACAAUUACCUUUUCUAGUUUGCAUGUGUCGGCAUUUGCCUUCAUAUUUGUAUGAGAGAAUGUAAGUGAGUCCAAGUAGAGCUCCCGAUACUUGGUACAAUAUGCAGUAACAUCAUUCUAGAACCUUGGCUGCCAGGUUGUGUGUGUCAGCAUUCAUGCUAGUGUGAGUGCCAUGUGGCGCAGUCCAGGUAAAGAGCAUAGUAUGUAGUAAUACAUCAUACCAGAUCCAUAUAUUUUCAUAAGAUGUAAAUAUAUGGCUCUGCAUCACACUGUCUACUGUUGUGUUAUGUAUGUUGUGCAAUUUGUAAUUUUAAAGCUUGUAUGCGUGCGAUGCAUGCCAGUCCGGUCAGUCCAGCCUAAGUAAAGAGCGUGGUGCCAACAGUG